rnacentral:rRNA from 1 species
GACAGAGGGUGCAAACGUUGUUCGGAAUUACUGGGCGUAAAGCGCGUGUAGGCGGCUAAGUAAGUCGGGCGUGAAAUCCCACGGCUCAACCGUGGAAGUGCACUCGAAACUGCAUAGCUAGAGUCCUGGAGAGGAAGGUGGAAUGCUUGGUGUAGAGGUGAAAUUCGUAGAUAUCAAGCGGAACACCGGUGGCGAAGGCGGCAUUCUGGACAGUGACUGACGCUGAGACGCGAAAGCGUGGGGAGCAAACAGG